GAUGAACGCUGGCGGCGUGCCUAAUACAUGCAAGUCGAGCGAAUGGAUUAAGAGCUUGCUCUUAUGAAGUUAGCGGCGGACGGGUGAGUAACACGUGGGUAACCUGCCCAUAAGACUGGGAUAACUCCGGGAAACCGGGGCUAAUACCGGAUAACAUUUUGAACCGCAUGGUUCGAAAUUGAAAGGCGGCUUCGGCUGUCACUUAUGGAUGGACCCGCGUCGCAUUAGCUAGUUGGUGAGGUAACGGCUCACCAAGGCAACGAUGCGUAGCCGACCUGAGAGGGUGAUCGGCCACACGUGGACUGAGACACGGCCCAGACUCCUACGGGAGGCAACAGUAGGGAAUCUUCCGCAAUGGACGAAAGUCUGACGGAGCAACGCCGCGUGAGUGAUGAAGGCUUUCGGGUCGUAAAACUCUGUUGUUAGGGAAGAACAAGUGCUAGUUGAAUAAGCUGGCACCUUGACGGUACCUAACCAGAAAGCCACGGCUAACUACGUGCCAGCCGCCGCGGUAA
rnacentral:rRNA from 1 species